rnacentral:rRNA from 1 species
CCUACGGGUGGCAGCAGUAGGGAAUAUUGCUCAAUGGGGGAGACCCUGAAGCAGCAACGCCGCGUGGAGGAUGACUGUUUUAGGAUUGUAAACUCCUUUUGUUAGAGAAGUUUAUGACGGUAUGUAACGAAUAAGCACCGGCGAACUCCGUGCCAGCAGCCGCGGUAAUACGGAGGGUGCAAGCGUUAUUCGGAAUCACUGGGCGUAAAGAGUGCGUAGGCGGGGUAAUAAGUCAGAUGUGAAGUCCUGUAGCUUAACUAUAGAACUGCAUUUGAAACUGUUACUCUGGAGUUUGGGAGAGGUAGGUGGAAUGCUUGGUGUAGGGGUAAAAUGCGUAGAGAUCAAGAGGAAUACUCAUUGCGAAGGCGACCUGCUGGAACAUUACUGACGCUGAUGCACGAAAGCGUGGGGAGCAAACAGGAUUAGAUACCCUUGUAGUC